rnacentral:tRNA from 1 species
ACUGGCAGAGCGUCGGUCUCCAAAACCGAAGGUUGGGGGUUCGAUUCCCUCUGCCCCUG